UCUCCGUUGGUGAACCAGCGGAGGGAUCAUUACCGAGUCCUUACACUCAAACCCAACCGCGAACCAGAAACUGUUACUUCGGCGGGCCGCCCCGACGGGCGCCCGCCAAAGGUUUUAGCAUAUUAGCUCUUACGGUGGCUUGCCGCCGCAACCUGUCCUCUGAAUACGCUUCCAAAAAUCAGUUAAAACUUUCAACAACGGAUCUCUUGGUUCUG
rnacentral:misc_RNA from 1 species